rnacentral:rRNA from 1 species
GCGUGCGCAGUUGCCGUAGCAAUACGGUGAUGGGCGCACGGCGCACGGGUGCGUAACACGUGGGCAAUCUGCCCUCCGAUGGGGAAUAACCCCGCGAAAGCGGGGCUAAUACCGCAUAACAUUCCUUGGACGAUGUUCGAGGAUUCAAAGCAGCAAUGCGUCGGAGGAGGAGCCCGCGCCCGAUUAGCUAGUUGGUAGGGUAACGGCCUACCAAGGCAAUGAUCGGUAGCUGGUCUGAGAGGAUGAUCAGCCACACUGGAACUGAGACACGGUCCAGACUCCUACGGGAGGCAGCAGUGGGGAAUCUUGCACAAUGGGCGAAAGCCUGAUGCAGCGACGCCGCGUGGGGGAUGAAGCAUUUCGGUGUGUAAACCCCUUUCGACUGGGACGAAUGCCCGCAAGGGAGUGACGGUACCAGUAGAAGAAGCCCCGGCUAACUACGUG